rnacentral:rRNA from 1 species
AGUAAAAGUCGUAACAAGGUUUCCGUAGGUGAACCUGCGGAAGGAUCAUUAUCGAGUUUUGAACGGGUUGUAGCUGGCCUCAUACUGUGGCAUGUGCACGCCUGUCUUCAUCCACUCUUCAACCUCUGUGCACUUAUUGUAGGCUGGUGAAGGGUCGCAUAGUAAUGUGCGGCUUGAAGCCUGGUCUACGUUUUACUACAAACGCUUCAGUUAUAGAAUGUCUAUCUGCGUAUAACGCAUUUAAUAUACAACUUUCAGCAACGGAUCUCUUGGCUCUCGCAUCGAUGAAGAACGCAGCGAAAUGCGAUAAGUAAUGUGAAUUGCAGAAUUCAGUGAAUCAUCGAAUCUUUGAACGCACCUUGCGCUCCCUGGUAUUCCGGGGAGCAUGCCUGUUUGAGUGUCAUGGAAUUCUCAACUUCUAAUACUUUUUUGUAUCAGAAGCUUGGAUUUGGAGGCUCGUGCUGGCUCUCUCGUUAGAGUCGGCUCCUCUUAAAUGAAUUAGCGUGAAUCACUAUGGAUCGCUUCGGUGUGAUAAUUAUCUGCGCCGUAGUCGUGAAGUAUUAAUAAAAGUUCUCGCUUCUAAUCGUCCUUCACGGGACAAUUAACCCUGACUUUUUGACCUCAAAUCAGGUAGGACUACCCGCUGAACUUAAGCAUAUCAAUAAGCGGAGGA